rnacentral:rRNA from 1 species
GACGAACGCUGGCGGCGUGCUUAACACAUGCAAGUCGAACGGAAAGGCCCUGCUUUUGUGGGGUGCUCGAGUGGCGAACGGGUGAGUAACACGUGAGUAACCUGCCCUUGACUUUGGGAUAACUUCAGGAAACUGGGGCUAAUACCGGAUAGGAGCUCCUGCUGCAUGGUGGGGGUCGGAAAGUUUCGGCGGUUGGGGAUGGACUCGCGGCUUAUCAGCUUGUUGGUGGGGUAGUGGCUUACCAAGGCUUUGACGGGUAGCCGGCCUGAGAGGGUGACCGGCCACAUUGGGACUGAGAUACGGAGCAGACUCCUACGGGAGGCAGCAGUGGGGAAUAUUGCACAAUGGGCGGAAGCCUGAUGCAGCAACGCCGCGUGCGGGAUGACGGCCUUCGGGUUGUAAACCGCUUUCGCAUGUGACGAAGCGUGAGUGACGGUAAUGGGUAAAGAAGCACCGGCUAACUACGUG